CACUCUGGGCCGGGAUACAUCGCUGCCGACCCGGAGCCGGAGCCCAGGACCAGCGGGCACCAGGCCCCUGCGCCGCAGUGGCGGGGUCAGAGCGGCAGGACUGGGUGGCUGGUGACAGGGCUGCCAGGCUGCCCCAAGCCGGAGUCUGUUCCCCGACGGCCGAGGCUCCCGCUGGCUGGCAGCUCCCCAGGCGUGUGGGUUUGAUUCCCAACGGCGCCCAGCCCAGGGCAAGGCGGCUGGGGGAAGGCCACGCCACGGAUGAACCCAAGGCCGAACUCCUGUUUUUCUAAAUACCUUUUCCGGGGCCCACGAGGUCCCUCUCAGAAGCCUGAAGACACCAGGGGCCCUGAAGGAGGCCGCUGGCAAGGAAACAUGGACCCGGCUCCAGCCCAGCUACUGGAAGACCUUUCUGGAAUCGGGAGAAGACGCACCUCGGACUUGGGAGCUGAUCCUUCUUUCAAUUCCUGAUUCUGCCACCUCUUGCUAAGGAUUUCAGGCGAGACCAACCAACCCCCACUUCUUCAGCUGGGCCUUCUGCUGCUGGGACCAGAAGCACUGACGGCAGCGGCGAAGGCUGGAUGGAGAACCAGGCCUGCCACCUCUGGGUCCAGCCUGACUGCACCCUUGGCUAUGCCCGUCCUCUCUUGGAAUGUGGCUUUCCUACGACCUGAAACCGUGGAAGGAGAAGGAGAGGGAAGGGCUGGGGGGAGGCAGAAGCCUGACCGUCAGAUCUGCCAAGAACAGUCAUCGUUUAUUUCCACGAGUAUUUCUUGGCAUUAGGCAGAUAUUGAAGAACAGGCUGUGCAAGAUUUAUAAACGCGGGGACAGCUGGAGGGACGUAAGAGGGGCCGGAUUUACCAACAGCGGUGGCACGCAGCACACCCGCCUUGCCUGGAGAGUGCAGGGGCCACGGCCUGAGGAAUGGGGGCUCCCGCGGGCAGACGCAAAACUCAGAAAAUGCCAUUUAUUUUAUCAUUUUAAUACCGGAAAUGCCAGACCAAUCAACAGGGAGGACAGACCAGACACAAAUGCCUGUGCUCACA
rnacentral:lncRNA from 1 species